CACACUUGGAAGCGCUAUUCCAAUGCCAUCCAUUUUGCUGAUAUCCACACUCGUGAGCUGUAUGUGAAGGUGACGAAGCCAAAGUUAGCCCCUUUCCUGCUCUCUCUCUGGAUAGAUAGAUUCUCUCUAUCCCCAAGCGUUACGUUUUCGAGCACUCUCAAACCCUAAUUUCAGAUUGAAGCCCUAAUCUCUUGUGGCUGCUCUGCUGAUCGGCAAAUGCAGUGUAAAGACGUUUUGACAACUGCUGGAUGGUUUGCCUUUGAAGUUCUUCUAUGAGGAAAUUUGUAAUUUUUGUCUUAAAGCAUUGAUUCCAACUGGAGAUUUCCAGUUUUCCAAAAUUGUGAAAGCUUGAAAUUUCUUUUUUCCAUUGAGGUAUACUUGGCCUUUUGGUACUGGUGUUCAUUGAUUAGAGCAAAGAAAGGAAAUUGUUGUUGAUGAAAUAGUGCUGCAAUAAGUUGGUAAAGAUGUUAUUCAACAAAGAAAUCGAGGAUUUGCAUGAUGAUGGCUUUGAGGGGUCAAUUAAUGAAAGUCGUAUUUUUACAGAGGUGUUCUUUGGAAAUGACUGCGAUACAACUAGUAAGAGGUGUCUUGUUACUGGAGUUAUUAAUUUUGAAUGUGAUUACAGUAGGCACACAGACAUGUUGCUUUGCUCAAACAAUGAAAAGUCAGCCAUAACAAGUCAGGUGGGUUCUUGUAAUGUAAAGGAGGAUUCAAAAAACAAUUCUGGUAAGCAAAUGAAGUUGGCAGUAGAUGAGCUUUCUUAUUCCAGACCUAAUUCCAGAGGGAUUUUGAAAUCAUCAGCUCUCUCAAAGGAAGUAGUUUCUGGUAUGUCAGCUUCACAAUCAAUCUGCCACACUAUAAUGGGUCGUUUAGUUGAAUCAUCCGGUCAGGGUGUUACUUCUAGUUGCUAUCUGCUAAAGCAGCAUGCUGAAAUAAACUCAGGAGGUGAAAUAGGUGACAGAGAUGUUUCUAAUCGUAGGCUGGAGAGCUUGGAUGGAAGUGAUGAGAAGGAAGUGAAUGCAAGUAAAGCUAUUGCUUCACCUGUUUCUCAGGAGAGCUUUGCGUCCAAGCUUUUAGUUGCAAGUCCAUCAGUCACUGUUGCAAAUAAUUCUGGAUCUCACCGAUGUGCCGAGGAAAGAACAAAGGCAUCCAACUCUAGUGAACUGUCAAUGGCUAAAAUAUCGUUGAAUAGAGUUUCCAUGAAGGAUCCCCGUCCUCCUCUCCGCAACCACAUCCAGAACCUACUUAGAGCAGCAGGAUGGCAGAUUAGGAGGCGUAAAAGAGAAGAUAAUAUUAGUGGGGAAUUUCUUUAUUUGUCACCUUGGGGAGGAAGACCUAUUCGUGAAUUACGUAGAGUUUGGAACUUAUGUGGUCGGAGUUUGCUUGCUGAUGGAAACAUUGUUGUGCGAGAAGAUAGUAAACUGUGGACUGAUAUGACUCAUUUCUGGUCUGAUCUAUCUAAUACAUUUAUCAAAAUCGAGGAAGAAUUGAACAAUACAGAAACUACUGCACUGGCACGUCGGUGGUAUCUUCUCGAUCCCUUUGCUAAUAUGGUGUUAAUUGACAAGAAGCUUGGCACUCUAAGAGCAGGAAAAGUAGUCAAAGCAAGGAGAACUUUGGUGAUUGAUACAUCUGCAAAAGAUGAUUCUGUUUUGGCCUUGAAAAAUGCCAAUGGCAUUGGAAACCAGUUGGAGAGACCUUCAACAUAUCGACUUUGUUAUUCUUCUGUGGCCAGUGAAAGUGCAUUGACAGUUUCUGAGGGAAUUCAAUGUAGGGAUUUCUCUGGGAACAAAAGAAGCAGACUAGAUCUGAGUUCUUUACAAGCUUAUGGGUCUGAUGGGACUAGUGAUCAUUUUAGUAGUUGCUUAUUUGAAGUUCCCAUCACUUCUGGAAAUGCACAUGUCAUGCAUGGAGGGCAUGAAACUGUCUCUCGUCAUCAUGAUUGCAAUACAAAUUCCCCAAGCUGUGCUAGACACAGAUCUGACCAUGGCGAGGAAAUGGUUUUGGAAGUAAAAAAAAAUGUAUCCAAGGGUGAAGAAGGCAAAACUUUCAGGGGAAAAUUUACUGAGAAGGUGGAAAAUCAGCUGAAGUCGUUUAUUUGCUCUUCUCAACGCCGGAAUGGGAAGAAACUGUCAACAUUUGGGAAGUUCCAUCAAAAUUCUGGUAGUGCUAAGAAAUCUAACCAGUUCUUUUCCGAGGAGUUGAACUUUAAAAAUAUUACUGUUGAGGUCCCUCUUCAUGUAAAAAAUGAGUCUCUGCACCCUGAAGCUUGGAGGCAAGACAUCAAAUCAGAAAAAGCUGAAUCUCAAAAUGGACAGAAGAGAUCAAUUACAUGCCAGCUUAAGGAUGAUGACCUUUUGAUUUCGGCUAUCAUAAAAAACAAAACUUUCGGAUCAACUACCAAACGAUCUGCUUGGAAAUGCAAAUCAGCAUCUCUGAGAAAAUACAAGAGCCAAAAGGGCAGUUGUAGGUUGCUUCCAAGGAGCUUGGGUAAGGGUGGAAAGCACAUUGACGGGAAGUGGUCCAUGUUUGGUUCAAGAACUGUAUUAUCCUGGUUGAUCGACUCUGGGGUUGUUUCUCUUAAUGAAGUUAUUCAAUACCGGAAUCCAAAGGAUGAAUCUGUGGUGAAAGAUGGCUUGGUUAAUCUGAAUGGGAUCUUAUGUAAGUGUUGCAAUAAGGUGCUCUCUCUCUCUGAAUUCAAGGUUCAUGCUGGUUUCAAGCUGAACCGUCCUUGUUUGAAUCUUUUUAUGGAGUCUGGUAAGUCAUUCACUUUAUGCCAGCUUGAGGCUUGGUCAGCUGAAUACAAGGCUAGGAAAAGUGCCACUCGAACUGUUCAAGAUGAUGAAAUGGACGAGAAUGAUGACAGCUGUGGUCUGUGUGGGGGCGGGGGUGAGUUGAUAUGCUGUGAUAACUGUCCAUCUACGUUUCAUCAGGCAUGCUUGCAUGGACAGGAGCUCCCUGAAGGCAGUUGGUAUUGCCAGCACUGCACUUGUAGGAUUUGUGGUGAUCUUGUUAAAGAUAAAGAGCCUUUCAAAUCACCUGGUGCAUUCAAGUGUUCACAGUGCGAGCAUAAGUACCAUGAAGCAUGCCUGAAAGAGAAGGGUGAAUGUAGAGAAGUGGCUUCUGAUACCUGGUUUUGCCGUGAAAGCUGUCAGGAGGUGUACUUGGGCAUACAUUCCCGUAUCGGGUUUGUAAAUCUUCUCCCUGAUGGCUUCUCUUGGACCCUUUUGAGGUACAUUCAUGGCGACCAAAGAGUUCAUUCCGAUCAACGACCUGUUGCACUGAAGGCAGAAUGCAACUCAAAGCUGGCUGUUGCUCUUACAAUUAUGGAGGAGUGCCUUCUCUCUAUGGUGGAUUCAAGAACAGGCAUAGACAUGAUACCCCAUGUAUUGUACAAUUGGGGAUCACAUUUUGCACGCCUAAACUAUAUUGGAUUUCACACAGUGGUUUUAGAGAAAGAUGAUGUGCUGAUGUGUGUCGCAUCAAUCAGAAUAAUCCAGGCAACGUCACAUUUAAAUUCAAGCUUCAAAUUUCAUGCAGGAUCCAUGGAGUAACAGUAGCGGAGAUGCCUCUUAUUGCAACUUGCAGUAAGUAUCGUCGCCAGGGAAUGUGUCGGCGCCUCAUGAAUGCUAUUGAAGAGAUGCUAAGAUCUUUCAAGGUCGAAAAGCUUGUGAUAUCAGCCAUUCCUAGUCUGGUUGAGACAUGGACAGUUGGGUUUGGCUUUAAACCCUUGGAAGAUAACGAGAGAAAUAGCCUGAGUAACAUCAACUUGAUGGU